AACAGUGGGUUAACUGCCUUGUUCAGGGGCAGAACAACAGCUUUCGUACCCUGCUGAAACGAAGGUCAAAUACUUAAUCUAAAUCUAACAAACCCUAACUUUCAUAACCUUAAGAUCAGCAAUGCCACAUAUUCAGACAGCGGACAGUAUGUUUGUGCCUUACAGGUGCUUAAGAAUAGAAAAGGGCCCUGGAAGGUAAUAACUAAUGUCACAGUCACUGUGAAUGGAGAAUUCAACAAACACCCCAACAGGAAUGACACAGCCCUGUUAUAUACUCCAGGGGAUCCUUACAUACCACUGUAUGCAGUGGGAACCUUGUUCUUCUCCUGCCUGUUUGUUACUGUCAUUGUCAUGAUGAAAAAUACCAAGAUUUCGCAAGGUGAGUAAAACCCACAUACUGUAUGUUCUAUCAUCAGGUAUGUAUUU